rnacentral:misc_RNA from 1 species
AAGUCGUAACAAGGUUUCCGUAGGUGAACCUGCGGAAGGAUCAUUAACACGAAUUUUAUCCAAAUAUCAAAACUAAACGUGAACUUUUCCCCUCCCUAUAUUUAUAGAUAUAGGCUAACCUUUUUAUUAAAUCAUUUAACUACUUUAAUUUACUGAGUCCUUUAAUAUUAUAUUAAAACGACUAACUAAACUAAAAAUUUUACUUAAGAUGUUAUUCGUCUUAAUUAAAUAUUUUUCUUUACGGAAUAAAUAUUUUACUUAUAAGAACAACUCUUAGCAAUGGAUAUCUUGGUUCUC